AUUGAACGCUGGCGGCAGGCCUAACACAUGCAAGUCGAGCGGAUGAAGGGAGCUUGCUCCUGGAUUCAGCGGCGGACGGGUGAGUAAUGCCUAGGAAUCUGCCUGGUAGUGGGGGAUAACGUCCGGAAACGGGCGCUAAUACCGCAUACGUCCUGAGGGAGAAAGUGGGGGAUCUUCGGACCUCACGCUAUCGGAUGGGCCUAGGUCGGAUUAGCUAGUUGGUGGGGUAAAGGCCUACCAAGGCGACGAUCCGUAACUGGUCUGAGAGGAUGAUCAGUCACACUGGAACUGAGACACGGUCCAGACUCCUACGGGAGGCAGCAGUGGGGAAUAUUGGACAAUGGGCGAAAGCCUGAUCCAGCCAUGCCGCGUGUGUGAAGAAGGUCUUCGGAUUGUAAAGCACUUUAAGUUGGGAGGAAGGGCAGUAAGUUAAUACCUUGCUGUUUUGACGUUACCAACAGAAUAAGCACCGGCUAACUUCGUG
rnacentral:rRNA from 1 species